rnacentral:rRNA from 1 species
GAUGAACGCUGGCGGCGUGCCUAAUACAUGCAAAUCGAGCGAACGGACGAGAAGCUUGCUUCUCUGAUGUUAGCGGCGGACGGGGGAGUAACACGUGGAUAACCUACCUAUAAGACUGGGAUAACUUCGGGAAACCGGAGCUAAUACCGGAUAAUAUUUUGAACCGCAUGGUUCAAAAGUGAAAGACGGUCUUGCUGUCACUUAUAGAUGGAUCCGCGCUGCAUUAGCUAGUUGGUAAGGUAACGGCAUACCAAGGCAACGAUGCAUAGCCGACCUGAGAGGGUGAUCGGCCACACUGGAACUGAGCCGCGGUCCAGACUCCUACGGGAGGCAGCAGUAGGGAAUCUUCCGCAAUGGGCGAAAGCCUGACGGAGCACCGCCGCGUGAGUGAUGAAGGUCUUCGGAUCGUAAAACUCUGUUAUUAGGGAAGAACAUAUGUGUAAGUACCUGUGCACAUCUUGACGGUACCUAAUCAGAAAGCCACGGCUAACUACGUG